GUUGUAUGGUUAAGUGACUAAGCGUACACGGUGGAUGCCUUGGCAGUCAGAGGCGAUGAAGGACGUAUUAACUUGCGAUAAGCCCAGAUUAGGUAGUAAAAACCAUUUGAGUCUGGGAUUUCCGAAUGGGGAAACCCACUUGCAUAAGCAAGUAUCGCUGCGUGAAUACAUAGCGCAGCGAGGCGAACCGGGGGAACUGAAACAUCUAAGUACCCCGAGGAAAAGAAAUCAACCGAGAUUCCGAAAGUAGCGGCGAGCGAAAUUGGACUAGCCCUUAAGCUUUUUAUGCGUCAGGUGAAACUUCUGGAAAGUUGUGCGAUACAGGGUGAUAGCCCCGUAACCGGCAACGCAUAUAAAGUGAAAUCGAGUAGGGCGGGACACGUGAUAUCCUGUCUGAAUAUGGGGGACCAUCCUCCAAGGCUAAAUACUACUGACUGACCGAUAGUGAACCAGUACCGUGAGGGAAAGGCGAAAAGAACCCCUGUGAGGGGAGUGAAAUAGAACCUGAAACCGUGUACGUACAAGCAGUAGGAGCACCUUCGUGGUGUGACUGCGUACCUUUUGUAUAAUGGGUCAGCGACUUAUAUUCAGUGGCAAGGUUAACCAUCUAGGGGAGCCGUAGCGAAAGCGAGUGUUAACUGCGCGACUCAGUCGCUGGAUAUAGACCCGAAACCAGGUGAUCUAGCCAUGGGCAGGUUGAAGAUUGAGUAACAUCAAUUGGAGGACCGAACCGACUAAUGUUGAAAAAUUAGCGGAUGACUUGUGGCUAGGGGUGAAAGGCCAAUCAAACCUGGAGAUAGCUGGUUCUCCCCGAAAGCUAUUUAGGUAGCGCCUCGGACGAAUACUACUGGGGUAGAGCACUGUUAAGGCUAGGGGGUCAUCCCGACUUACCAACCCUUUGCAAACUCCGAAUACCAGUAAGUACUAUCCGGGAGACACACGGCGGGUGCUAACGUCCGUCGUGGAGAGGGAAACAACCCAGACCGCCAGCUAAGGUCCCAAAUUACUACUAAGUGGGAAACGAUGUGGGAAGGCUCAGACAGCCAGGAUGUUGGCUUAGAAGCAGCCAUCAUUUAAAGAAAGCGUAAUAGCUCACUGGUCGAGUCGGCCUGCGCGGAAGAUGUAACGGGGCUAAGUAGUAAACCGAAGCUGCGGCAAUGCACUUUGUGCAUUGGGUAGGGGAGCGUUCUGUAAGCGGUUGAAGGUGUGUGGUAACGCAUGCUGGACGUAUCAGAAGUGCGAAUGCUGACAUGAGUAACGAUAAAGGGGGUGAAAAACCUCCUCGCCGGAAGACCAAGGGUUCCUGUCCAACGUUAAUCGGGGCAGGGUAAGUCGACCCCUAAGGCGAGGCCGAAAGGCGUAGUCGAUGGGAAACGGGUUAAUAUUCCCGUACUUCUUACAAUUGCGAUGGGGGGACGGAGAAGGCUAGGUGGGCCUGGCGACGGUUGUCCAGGUUCAAGUGCGUAGGCUGAGAGAUUAGGUAAAUCCGGUUUCUCUUAAGGCUGAGACACGACGUCGAGCUACUACGGUAGUGAAGUCAUUGAUGCCAUGCUUCCAGGAAAAGCCUCUAAGCUUCAGAUUGUAAGGAAUCGUACCCCAAACCGACACAGGUGGUCGGGUAGAGAAUACCAAGGCGCUUGAGAGAACUCGGGUGAAGGAACUAGGCAAAAAUGGUACCGUAACUCGGGAGAAGGUACGCUCUUGAUGGUGAAGUCCCUUGCGGAUGGAGCUGACGAGAGUCGCAGAUACCAGGUGGCUGCAACUGUUUAUUAAAAACACAGCACUGUGCAAAAUCGUAAGAUGACGUAUACGGUGUGACGCCUGCCCGGUGCCGGAAGGUUAAUUGAUGGGGUUAGACUUCGGUCGAAGCUCUUGAUCGAAGCCCCGGUAAACGGCGGCCGUAACUAUAACGGUCCUAAGGUAGCGAAAUUCCUUGUCGGGUAAGUUCCGACCUGCACGAAUGGCGUAAUGAUGGCCACGCUGUCUCCACCCGAGACUCAGUGAAAUUGAAAAUCGCUGUGAAGAUGCAGUGUACCCGCGGCUAGACGGAAAGACCCCGUGAACCUUUACUACAGCUUGGCACUGAACAUUGACCCCUACAUGUGUAGGAUAGGUGGGAGGCUUUGAAGCAAGUACGCCAGUAUUUGUGGAGCCGUCCUUGAAAUACCACCCUUGUAGUGUUGAUGUUCUAACGUCGACCCCUAAUCGGGGUUGCGGACAGUGCCUGGUGGGUAGUUUGACUGGGGCGGUCUCCUCCCAAAGAGUAACGGAGGAGCACGAAGGUGGGCUAAUCACGGUUGGACAUCGUGAGGUUAGUGCAAUGGCAUAAGCCCGCUUGACUGCGAGAAUGACAAUUCGAGCAGGUGCGAAAGCAGGUCAUAGUGAUCCGGUGGUUCUGAAUGGAAGGGCCAUCGCUCAACGGAUAAAAGGUACUCCGGGGAUAACAGGCUGAUACCGCCCAAGAGUUCAUAUCGACGGCGGUGUUUGGCACCUCGAUGUCGGCUCAUCACAUCCUGGGGCUGAAGUCGGUCCCAAGGGUAUGGCUGUUCGCCAUUUAAAGUGGUACGCGAGCUGGGUUUAGAACGUCGUGAGACAGUUCGGUCCCUAUCUGCCGUGGGCGUUGGAAGAUUGAAGGGGGCUGCUCCUAGUACGAGAGGACCGGAGUGGACGAACCUCUGGUGUUCGGGUUGUGUCGCCAGACGCAUUGCCCGGUAGCUAAGUUCGGAAUCGAUAACCGCUGAAAGCAUCUAAGCGGGAAGCGAGCCCUGAGAUGAGUCUUCCCUGAUACUUUAAGUAUCCUAAAGGGUUGUUCGAGACUAGAACGUUGAUAGGCAGGGUGUGUAAGCGUUGUGAGGCGUUGAGCUAACCUGUACUAAUUGCCCGUGAGGCUUAACCAUACAACACCCAAGGGGUUU
rnacentral:rRNA from 1 species